rnacentral:rRNA from 1 species
CGGCGCGGGCGGGUUGAGCUGCGGCGGAUCGAGGACCGGACGAGCCGGCAGGUGCGCUUCUCCAAGCGCCGAGCGGGGCUCUUCAAGAAGGCCUUCGAGCUCUCGCUCCUCUGCGACGCCGAGGUCGCGCUGCUCGUCUUCUCCCCCGCCGGCAAGCUCUACGAGUACGCCUCCUCCAGCAUUGAAGGUACAUAUGACCGGUAUCAGCAAUUUGCGGUGCCCGGAAGGAAUCUGAUUCAAGAAGAUGCAACUGUCUGCAAUGAUGAAGAUCCUUCAAAUAUGCAGUCAAGGCUUGGCGAGAUUGCUGCCUGGUCUCUCGAUAAUAAUGCUGACAACUCAGAUGCCAGUAGUUUGGAGAAACUGGAGAAACUACUAAAGGAUGCUCUGAGAAUUACAGAAUCUAAGAAGGCUUUGGCGAAACAAAAUAGUGGCGGGAGCACGAGCGGAGAGAGCCCCAACGGACCUACGGGGCAGGAGAAUGGGAGGAAUGCUUGA